rnacentral:rRNA from 1 species
GACGAACGCUGGCGGCGCGCUUAACACAUGCAAGUCGAACGGAAAGGCCUGCUUUCCCUUGUGGAUUGCGGGUACUCGAGUGGCGAACGGGUGAGUAACACGUGAGUGAUCUGCCCCCAACUUGGGUAUAAGCCUGGGAAACUGGGUCUAAUUCCCGAUAGGACUGCAGGGUGGUGCCUGUGGUGGAAAACGAUUUUCUAGUGGUUGGGGAUGAGCUCGCGGCCUAUCAGCUUGUUGGUGGGGGAAUGGCCUACCAAGGCGGCGACGGGUAGCCGGCCUGGGAGGGUGGACGGCCCCAGUGGGACUGAGAUACGGCCCAGACUCCUACGGGAGGCAGCAGUGGGGAAUAUUGCACGAUGGGCGGAAGCCUGAUGCAGCGACGCCGCGUGGGGGAUGCCGGCCUUCGGGUGGUAAGCUCCUUUCGACCGCGAGGAAGCCACCUGGUUGGAAGGGUGGUGACGGUAGUGGUAGAAGAAGCACCGGCUAACUACGUG